rnacentral:rRNA from 1 species
CCUACGGGAGGCAGCAGUGAGGAAUAUUGGUCAAUGGACGCAAGUCUGAACCAGCCAUGCCGCGUGCAGGAUGACGGCUCUAUGAGUUGUAAACUGCUUUUGUACAAGGGUAAACCUGAAUACGUGUAUUCAGCUGAAAGUACUUUACGAAUAAGGAUCGGCUAACUCCGUGCCAGCAGCCGCGGUAAUACGGAGGAUCCAAGCGUUAUCCGGAUUUAUUGGGUUUAAAGGGUGCGUAGACGGAUUGUUAAGUUAGUGGUGAAAGGUUCGGGCUGAACUGGGAAACUGCCUCUAAUACUGGUGGUCUAGAGAGUAGAUGCGGUAGGCGGAAUGUAUGGUGUAGCGGUGAAAUGCUUAGAGAUCAUACAGAACACCGAUUGCGAAGGCAGCUUACCAAUCUAUAUCUGACGUUGAGGCACGAAAGUGUGGGGAGCAAACAGGAUUAGAUACCCUUGUAGUC